GAUGAACGCUGGCGGCGUGCCUAAUACAUGCAAGUCGAGCGAACAGACGAGGAGCUUGCUCCUCUGACGUUAGCGGCGGACGGGUGAGUAACACGUGGAUAACCUACCUAUAAGACUGGGAUAACUUCGGGAAACCGGAGCUAAUACCGGAUAAUAUAUUGAACGGCAUGGUUCAAUAGUGAAAGAGGGUUUUGCUGUCACUUAUAGAUGGAUCCGCGCCGAAUUAGCUAGUUGGUAAGGUAACGGCUUACCAAGGCAACGUAGCGUAGCCGACCUGAGAGGGUGAUCGGCCACACUGGAACUGAGACACGGUCCAGACUCCUACGGGAGGCAGCAGUAGGGAAUCUUCCGCAAUGGGCGAAAGCCUGACGGAGCAACGCCGCGUGAGUGAUGAAGGUCUUCGGAUCGUAAAACUCUGUUAUUAGGGAAGAACAAAUGUGUAAGUAACUAUGCACGUCUUGACGGUACCUAAUCAGAAAGCCACGGCUAACUACGUG
rnacentral:rRNA from 1 species